AUUAAUAAUAAUGGCUGUGUGGACAAAUGAAUUGACACAAGCUUUAUUUGUGAUCUGGUCCGAAGAAGAGAUACAACAAGUUAUACAAGGUUGGGUUGCAACGGGUCUGGUGCCCAUCAAAGGAAGAACUGAUCAUAAUGCAGGGCUCACCUCGGAGCAGAUAUCAGUCUGAGAUCGGGACAUGGAUUGAGGACAAGUCUGAGAUUUACCUAACCGCGUCUUUUCAUGCCGCAAGAUGACAUCCAAACGAACACACACAUAGAGGGAAAUGGUUAUCUUCCUUGAGGGGGUGGGGUUUCUCCAUCACUACUGUCCAUCCUGCUAUUUGGCCCAUCUCUGUACACGUC